UGGGGAAUUUUGGACAAUGGGCGAAAGCCUGAUCCAGCAAUGCCGCGUGUGUGAAGAAGGCCUUCGGGUUGUAAAGCACUUUUGUCCGGAAAGAAAUCCUUGGCUCUAAUACAGUCGGGGGAUGACGGUACCGGAAGAAUAAGCACCGGCUAACUACGUGCCAGCAGCCGCGGUAAUACGUAGGGUGCAAGCGUUAAUCGGAAUUACUGGGCGUAAAGCGUGCGCAGGCGGUUUGCUAAGACCGAUGUGAAAUCCCCGGGCUCAACCUGGGAACUGCAUUGGUGACUGGCAGGCUAGAGUAUGGCAGAGGGGGGUAAAUUCCACGUGUAGCAGUGAAAUGCGUAGAGAUGUGGAGGAAUACCGAUGGCGAAGGCAGCCCCCUGGCAAGUACUGACGCUCAUGCACGAAAAGCGU
rnacentral:rRNA from 1 species